AGAGUUUGAUCCUGGCUCAGAUUGAACGCUGGCGGCAGGCUUAACACAUGCAAGUCGAGCGGUAGCACAAGGGAGCUUGCUCCCUGGGUGACGAGCGGCGGACGGGUGAGUAAUGUCUGGGAAACUGCCUGAUGGAGGGGGAUAACUACUGGAAACGGUAGCUAAUACCGCAUAACGUCGCAAGACCAAAGAGGGGGACCUUCGGGCCUCUUGCCAUCAGAUGUGCCCAGAUGGGAUUAGCUAGUAGGUGGGGUAAUGGCUCACCUAGGCGACGAUCCCUAGCUGGUCUGAGAGGAUGACCAGCCACUGGAACUGAGACACGGUCCAGACUCCUACAGGAGGCAGCAGUGGGGAAUAUUGCACAAUGGGCGCAAGCCUGAUGCAGCCAUGCCGCGUGUGUGAAGAAGGCCUUCGGGUUGUAAAGCACUUUCAGCGAGGAGGAAGGUGGUGAGCUUAAUACGCUCAUCAAUUGACGUUACUCGCAGAAGAAGCACCGGCUAACUCCGUGCCAGCAGCCGCGGUAAUACGGAGGGUGCAAGCGUUAAUCGGAAUUACUGGGCGUAAAGCGCACGCAGGCGGUUUGUUAAGUCAGAUGUGAAAUCCCCGGGCUCAACCUGGGAACUGCAUUUGAAACUGGCAAGCUAGAGUCUCGUAGAGGGGGGUAGAAUUCCAGGUGUAGCGGUGAAAUGCGU
rnacentral:rRNA from 1 species